UUAAUAUCGCUGUUUUACAGUUACUGAAAAUGAUUAGAAACAAGACAGCGCCCAUUAAGGUUAGGUGUAUCUGCUGGGAAGCACAUUCUCCAACAACUUCUACUUUCCUUACUUUCAGAGGGGUUUUACAGAAUAACAAACUAGACUACAGUUCGCUGCUCUUGUUUUCCAUUACACAAGAAACAUUUGAGUACGAGCAAACAAAGAUCAGUGUGGUACUACUGGGUUUUCUUUUGGUAGGGGCAUGAGAUGACAAUCCAUAUGGGAGGAAGGAAAAGGAUGAUUAUUCUAUAGGAUACAGAACAUAUAUACCACAUAUAUUAAUGAGGUCUAUCAUUUGCUUAAGAUUGAAGUUUUUUUUCUGGUGUCCGGUUCAGUUGCUAGCCACAGAACAUGAAAUAAUUUGUCACAAUUAGGAAUGUCGCUUGCUACAUCAAUGUCAGAAAAAGUUUGCUUACAGGAAGGAGACGAUACUGAACUAUAAAAAUUGCGAAGUGUAACCCUGAAUCAUCUAAAAAGAUGUUGGAAAUCUGUUGGUAACUCAAAAUAGUUUCCAAAAGAUAUAUAUAAUUCAUUAUUAGCUUGAAAUUUGUUCAAGAAUUUUCAGUUCUGCACAAAACAGUGCUAUUUGCUUUGUCGAGACAUGACUUCCUACAUAGCAUCUCUAGCCAGCUGGUGACACUAAAUUUAACAAGACUCGAGUGAUCCAAAUUAACUUUGAACGUCCUGCAUGCUGAAAAUAACUUAGCCUCUACUCUUACAUUGACAGAUACAAAUUGCCACGUUUGAUACUUCAGCUUUGUAUCCUGUAGGUGAUAGUGAUCUAGCUUUGGAUUCACACUUUAGUUUUGAUGUUUUCUUCAGAUGAAUCCAAUGUAAAAAGCCGUAAAAUGUGAGAUGAAUUUACAGCACUACUUACUUAAGAGAAUUACAGAGUCCUUUUAUGGUUCAUGCAUGCCCUUUCACAUUUAUUACUUGACUCUGCUGUAAAGUUAAUGAGCCAACUAUAGUAUAACAGGUAAAUUAUUUCCACUAGUACUCAACUUAGUGGAACAAAUUAACUAUUGUUUCCUUGUUUUAUCUGGUUUUGCUUGGCAGCUUGGUCCCUUUGUGGGAUAGAGAGAAAGAAAGAGAUAAAAGAGAUGGGCAUUAUUUAUAAAAUUUGUGGAGUAGACAUCCAUGUUCUCUUCAAAAGGAUUGCGAAAAUCUAGAAGAGCCUAUAAGAAACAAUGACAAGUAUUUUCUACUCUACAACAAUGUAUGGUCCAGGUAGGAGAAAAGGUUGAAGCACUGGACUUGCCAUAAAAUGCCGACACCUAAUAUUGUGUCAGUAAGAAUCAAAUUAUACGUAGUAAGUGCCAUUCGGAAGUAGGAUCAGAGAACCCUGUUGGAAAGUCUGGUUGUUGAAGUGGCCAGAUGUACAAGAUCUACUCACUUCAGAACUAAAGAUGCCGAUGCCAGAGAGUUGAGGUUUGUGUUUUUCGUAAAUUUACAGACUGAUCGGACUAAAAUAACCAUGUCAUAAAUUCUAUGCACCAAAAGUAGGAAAAUGGAUCCUCGUGUGCCACAUAACUACUACCUAAACGAGUCAUUUAAAAAUUUAAAGUGGACUCUCUUUCACUUGUUGCACAGAGUCACAGACACAUGUAUAAACACUCGUAAUGCUUGACAAGUUUUUAGCACCAUUUGCAAUAGUUUAUAAACAUUGUUCUUGCUCACCUUUGAUGCUUACAUAUAUUUCAUUGACCUGGUUUUCCACUGAU